rnacentral:tRNA from 1 species
AAACUAUUAGUAUUUAUGUUUUGAAAACAUGAAGCGAGUACAACUCGUAGUUU